rnacentral:rRNA from 1 species
UACGGGGGGGGCAAGCGUUGUUCGGAAUUACUGGGCGUAAAGGGCUCGUAGGCGGCCAACUAAGUCGGACGUGAAAUCCCUCGGCUUAACCGGGGAACUGCGUCUGAUACUGGAUGGCUUGAAUUCGGGAGAGGGAUGCAGAAUUCCAGGUGUAGCGGUGAAAUGCGUAGAUAUCUGGAGGAAUACCGGUGGCGAAGGCGGCAUCCUGGACCGACAUUGACGCUGAGGAGCGAAAGCUAGGGGAGCAAACGGG